GAUGAACGCUGGCGGCGUGCCUAAUACAUGCAAGUCGAACGAGUUCUCGUUGAAUCUCGGUGCUUGCACCGAGAUUCAACAUGGAACGAGUGGCGGACGGGUGAGUAACACGUGGGUAACCUGCCCUUAAGUGGGGGAUAACAUUUGGAAACAGAUGCUAAUACCGCAUAGAUCCAAGAACCGCAUGGUUCUUGGCUGAAAGAUGGCGUAAGCUAUCGCUUUUGGAUGGACCCGCGGCGUAUUAGCUAGUUGGUGAGGUAAUGGCUCACCAAGGCGAUGAUACGUAGCCGAACUGAGAGGUUGAUCGGCCACAUUGGGACUGAGACACGGCCCAAACUCCUACGGGAGGCAGCAGUAGGGAAUCUUCCACAAUGGACGCAAGUCUGAUGGAGCAACGCCGCGUGAGUGAAGAAGGCUUUCGGGUCGUAAAACUCUGUUGUUGGAGAAGAAUGGUCGGCAGAGUAACUGUUGUCGGCGUGAC
rnacentral:rRNA from 2 species